UGGGACUCUGGGAUCUCAUCGACAGACAGCCCCUCAGAGGAAUCAGUUCCUGGGCUUGGCAGCUCACCUCAAGCUGUACUUCUGGGAAGAAGAUCAAGACCUAUGUACUUCUGGGUAGAAGAUCAAGACCUAGCUGUCUAAUACCACUCCCUCUUCUGCCGUGUACCAAAGAACACUGGAAGAACAGGCAGCGGCCGGCCUGGGUGACAGUGUUCUGGUGAGAUGCUCUUAGAGUUACAUUUUCUCCUGCAAUGUGAAGAAUCAUCAAGUGUCUGAUUUCUCAGCUCAACGCAGAAGGGAACCAGGCAAGGCCUUUCCUGCUGGAACAGGAAGCAUCCUUCAGCGAGAUCAGCUGCUGUGUUCAGAUGCAUGUCUGACACAUGGUCAACCAAGAGGACAAACCUUUAGUUUCUGAGUUUAUGCAAGAUUGUGUGAGCUUGGAAGAGCUGUUAUCUGAAGCAGAGGGCUGGCCCCAUACAUCAAUGUCUGGGCUCAUCCACCUGUUUUGGUAGAAUGGCCGGUGUCAUUUCCAGGUUCCUGAGGCUCACAGAAGUUACUCAGAGGCAUUGCUGCACUUAUAACUCAGGUCUUACAGGAGACAGGCGCUUGAACUGAAUUCAUAGAAGCAAUGAAGUACAACUUAUGAAACAAACGCCAAGAUGAUGUAGCAGACACAGAGGCCCCAUACAGACAGGCCAAAACUCCUAAGAGUCCAGAAGCCACGCCAAAGCCUUGCUCCAGUCCUUAGAACUGGAGCAUGGCUUCCGGACUCUUGGGACACAUGCAACACUUAAACAGCGUACGUCCAAAGUGACCCAAAGCAGCAUCAUUUUGGACUAUUUAUGGGGCUGUAGUUGUAUAAUUUAGUAGCGUUUGGUUUUUGGAGAUGUAUAAACAGAUAAGGCCUCCCCCCAUGUUUUGUUUGUAUUGUGUAUAGUAGUUGUAACGUUGUAUCCUACAGAGUGGGACUCAAAUGGUGGCAUGUAUGUGCUGAUUUUUCCACCUUGUUUUGUUUUGUACUGUGUAGUGUUUGUAAUGUUGCAUAGAGAUAGAGUGGGACUCGAUGGUGGCGUGUGUGUAUAUGUGUGCAGUCCCCCUCCCCCCCGUUUUGUUUGUCCUGGUGUGCUAUUUACAGUCAUCCCUCUGAAUUCAGAGUGUUGGAACUUGUGGUUUUGAUAAUAUGCAGGUUUCCCAGUUUCUCCUGCUCCUUUCCACCCCCUUCCUACCCUCCCUCCUUACCUCCUCGUUUUGCACCACUACCCCACCUAGCUAGCGGAGGCAGGGAGGAUGGGAUUUGAAUAUUGAAUUCACGGGGGUCCCCAGAAUGGAUCCCCCGUGAAUUUGGAGGGAUGACUGUAUAACAGCGGCCUUUGAGAGGUCAAACAACUCUUUUGACAGGGUUUGCCUGGUUGAGGCUUGCCCCUCCUCCAGGGCUGUCAGGCCUCCUCCGCGACUGGAAGUUCCGUCCCUUCCUGGCCUCCCAACCAAUCAGGGAGACCACCAGCUGAGAGAAGGGCGGGACUUCCGGCUGCAAGGGAGUCGCAGCGUUACAAAGGUUGGGAACCACUGCUGUAUAAUGUUGCAUCCCUAUAGAGUGGGACUCAAUGUGCAUGCAGCUUCCCUUCUCUUCCCCCCCAGUUUUGUUUGUAUUGUGUGUAGUAUUUUGUAACGUUGCAUUCCUAUUGAGUGGGACUGAAUAGUGGCAUGUGUACAUGGUCCCCUCCCCCCGGUUUAGGGUUGCCAUAUCCUGCUUUUAGGUGGGACAGUCCCGGUUUCAGGGCCUUGGGAUUGACCCUUCCCAGGUUUAACAAGAUGUCCUUGGCCCUGCCGGCCGGGGCCCCUCAGGCUGCCACCUGCCUCUGCCGCCCGCAGGCCUGCAACUCCUCCUCCUCUAGACUUGGACGCUGCCUUCAGCCUCUCCAGCUGCGGGCCGGGUGGCGCUCCUCCUCCUCCGCAUGCUCCUGCAGCGGCCACCCACUUCCUCCUCCAUGUUUUUUGCGCAGCCCGCCCUCAUCCUCCUUUAUGGCGCAUGGCACGCGGCCCACCUACUUCCCCCUCCUCCUUUGCGCGGCUGCGUCAUCCACAGCACUUCUGCGGGGCUGUGGCUGGCGCCAGCUCACACUUGCCCCACUUGCGCGUGCACGGGACCAUAUAGGGAGUGCUCGUCCCCUUCAAGCUGGCUGGCCAAUGGCAGAAGGGCAGGGAGGGGCUGUUUCCAGCCCCAGCCUACCAUUGGCCAGUCUCAAGAGGGAGGUGGAGCCGAGGAGGAGGAGUGAGACUCUGGGCCUGCCAGGGGGAGGGAAAAGCAUCCUUUCUUGGUGCAUGGGGAGGAAGAGGAGGAGGAGGCCCAUUUUCAAAGGUUUUUUGUGUGUGUCCUCUAUUUAAAAAAAAUGUGCCCUAGUUUGGAGGCACUGACUUAUGUCAACCCUAUCUGUGAGGGGCCUGGUUGGUUGGCUACGCCCCGUUUUAAAUUUUGUCCUUCGUUUUUUUUACGUUUCUCCCCAGGUGGUGGUACCAGUUAUGACAACCCUACCCCUGUUUUGUUUGUACUGUAUGUAGUAUUUGCAAUUUUAUAUGCCUAUAGAGUGGGACUCAAUGGUGGUGUGUGCAUGCAGCUGUGCUGCCAUUAGGGACAAUGGGACUUUGAGUAAGUCCCCGUUGUCACGUGUGCCGCUGCUGCAUGCACACGCUGCCAUUGGGGACAAUGGGGGCUUGCCAUCCGUGGAUGUUUAAAUCUGGCAAGCCCACAGAUAAAGAGGCGUAUAUACAUAUACACAUUAAGAAAUGUACUGUAUUUGUGUUCUAAUAAACUA